GAUGAACGCUGGCGGCGUGCCUAAUACAUGCAAGUCGAGCGAACGGACGAGAAGCUUGCUUCUCUGAUGUUAGCGGCGGACGGGUGAGUAACACGUGGAUAACCUACCUAUAAGACUGGGAUAACUUCGGGAAACCGUAGCUAAUACCGGAUAAUAUUUUGAACCGCAUUGUUCAAAAGUGAAAGACGGUCUUGCUGGCACUUAUCGAUGGAUCCGCGCUGCAUUAUCUGGUUGGUAAGGUAACGGCUUAUCAAGGGAACGAUGCAUAACCGACCUGCGAGGGGGAUCGGCCACCCUGGAACGUGGACAGGGACAAGGCGCCUACGGGAGGCAGCAGUAGGGAAUCUGCCGCAAUGGGCGAAAGCCUGACGGAGCAACGCCGCGUGAGUGAUGGAGGUCUUCGGAUCGUAAAAAUCUGUUAUUAGGGAAGAACAUAUGCGGAAGUAACUGUGCACAUCGUGACGGUACCUAAUCAGAAAGCCACGGCUAACUACGUG
rnacentral:rRNA from 1 species